CAUUAGAGCGGUUGACUGGUCAGGCGAGGUGAGUCAGGGUUAAGGUGAAGAGCUGGGACCAGGCUCACCUUGCUCAGUCACAUGUUACCAUUUGGCAACCCGUCCCUCCUCCCUCAAACAUGCUAGCCGGAUCCUCGAUCCUCACGGAAUCCUGGGUGCAGCCUGAACCACACCUGCCCUCCCAGGCGUUGUCCCUCCGGUCCCAGAUGGGCCCACUGCCUUCCGCCACCCCAGCCUCAGGUGAGACUGAUCGGAGCAAGGUGUGACCUCCAAGGAAUGACAGAAGGGAAUAAUUUUUGAGCUGAGAAGAAUGUAUUCAAACUCCAUGCAGUGUUGUUAAAGGUCUUUUUUUGUUAGCUCUGUUUUUGCUCUGAGAAGGUCUUUUUUUUUUUUUUUUUUUUUUUUUUUUUUUUCUUUUUACUUCUGGAGGUCUUGAUGCUUACAGCAAUCACCUGGCUUUUUCUGGUCUGGAAGUCAUAUCUGUCUCCUCACCAAGGGCCUUGCUUCCACUUCAUAACAUCCUCCAUUUCAACUCUCCAUACUUGUCAGCAGAGGAUACACACGUAGGAAACAAUCAGAUCUAUGAACCAAGCUAUCAAUAUUUGCCUUCCUGCCCCGUCAUGGGUCAUAGGCUCUGACGCAGAAGUGAUGCUGUAAGAGUCUGCCUGGUUACCCCACUCACCUCCCCAGAAAGUGCACGCUGGUCACUCAUGUUGAUCCAAACAGAAAACAGCCCUUUGACGUCACCCCAGCUUUGCCUCCUCUUUCUCCACAAGCCCAACCUUGGAAAAUUUCCUAUUCGGCUUUAAAAAAAAAAAUGAAUGAUAACCUGAAUGGAAACAGAGAUAGCCUAUUUAUCAGAAUUUCAUACGAUACAAAAUGGAAUCACUAAAAAUAGGGUAAAGGAGUAAGGUUCCAAGUCAACCUCGACAGGACUCGACUUUAACAAGAUGACAUUUACUAGUGGUCAAUGAAAAGUGCCCCCAAAAUAGCACAGCUAUAUAAUUUCAGAGUUUGAAAGAUAGAACUAACAGAGCUACACAUUGACCUGCAAGCUCAGUAGGAGUCAAGGGCACAACGUGACUCUCAAAAAACCUAAAGCAAGUUUAGGCUGCAUCAUCAGAAAUGUCAAGAACAAGAGAAGGAGGUGAUGAUCCCGUUCUUCUCGGCUCUGCUGGGCCACACCUGACGUGUUGUGUUUCCCUUCUGACACCACUCCAGGAUGAACACUGACAAAAACUAUCUUGUAUUAGAGGAGUGGAAACAGGAAGACAAAGAAUCUGGAAACUAUAACAAGCGAGGACCAUGAAAGAACGAAGGAAGUUUAACGCCAAAGAGGAAAAAGAUUUAAGGGGGCCUGAAAGCUGUUUUUCAAGUAUGUUAACGACUAACCUGUACACAAGAGAUAAAGCUUCCCUGCCCCCAUCUCUAGAGGACAAAGUCGGUGUUCUGAGUUGGGGAGCUAAAUUUCAGUCUGGCCUGAAGAAGAAUUUUCAUUCCCAACUGUGAGAAUUGUCCAAAGCUAGGAUGGUCUGCCGGAUGAGGUAAUGAUUCCCCAUUACUGGAGGUAUUCAGGCAAAAGCUGGAGGUUCACAUAUGAGGGAUGCUAAAGAGAGAAUUGUCGAAUUCGUCCAAGGAGUAGUUCAGAUCCUUUCAAUUCACAGCCACUCUGACUCUAGGGAUUGUUAUUAUAAUUUAUUAUACUGUCCCCUACAUGAAAGUAUCAAAUUCCCUUUGUUAAUGCAAUAAAGCUGAUGAAUUUCGGAAA